UAGGGUAAGCUAUUAAUGUUAGGGGUAAAUGGGGCUGUUACCCCUAGAGGGUCCCCUAU
rnacentral:tRNA from 1 species